rnacentral:rRNA from 1 species
UGGGGAAUAUUGCACAAUGGGGGAAACCCUGAUGCAGCGACGCCGCGUGAGCGAAGAAGGUUUUCGAAUCGUAAAGCUCUGUUCUAUGGGAAGAUAAUGACGGUACCAUAGGAGGAAGCCCCGGCUAACUACGUGCCAGCAGCCGCGGUAAUACGUAGGGGGCAAGCGUUGUCCGGAAUCACUGGGCGUAAAGGGUUCGCAGGCGGAAAUGCAAGUCAGUUGUGAAAGGCAGAGGCUCAACCUCUGUAAGCAAUUGAAACUGUAUUUCUUGAGAUGUGGAGAGGCAAGUGGAAUUCCUAGUGUAGCGGUGAAAUGCGUAGAUAUUAGGAAGAAUACCGGUGGCGAAGGCGACUUGCUGGACACAAACUGACGCUGAGGAACGAAAGCGUGGGUAGCAAACAGG